ensembl:rRNA 5S_rRNA 5S ribosomal RNA
UUAUUCAGCAUCUGCUCUGCUGCAGACAGUGUUCUCACUGGAUCUCACAAGCUAAGAAGAGUCAGGCAUGGGUAGCACUUGGAGGAAAGAUCUCCAAAGAGAAAACAGUGCUGUAAGAA